AAUUAUUGACUAUUAAUAUUGUGUGAGAGAGGGGGGAUAUUAGAGAGAAGUAGAGUUAAAAAUCACAUGUGAAGAGUGCAUGAUGUUCUUGUGGUUAAAGAUCAAUCCAUUGGUAAAAUAUUCUUUGUGCAUCACUGGCAAGGGUCCAUAUCAGAAUCCGUCCAUUUUCAACACUAAUUUCAACACCCAAUUGGACUGAUUUUUGCAGUUGAAAUUACAUUCAACAUGACCAUUGCUCUUGGUUAAGACGACGUCGUUGAGUUCGUGGGUAUCUUUCUUCUGCAAUUGAACUUCACACUGCGAACAAGAAGAAGAAAAUGUCAUCACUGUUUAUGAGAUUAACAAGGUUUCCUUCAAAACCCU
rnacentral:lncRNA from 1 species